GUUACAUUUUUCUCUUGAUCUUUUUUCUCAAUUUACUAAGCUAUUGCAUCCAUUUUCUUAUGUGUUUCUCACGACUCAGGGGGCAAGCAGAGCGGGUGUUGUUUCUUCAUUGUGCAGAAGAGGAAAGUGAGGCCCGGCGAGAAGGACUGUUGGACUGUCGGGCUCAGGGCUCCUAAAUGCAAAAUCAUGUCAAGAAUCCCAGUGUCCUCUCCCUGACCAUUGAUUUCCCCCCAGUGACAUUUUAAUAGAAAUGCAAGGCCCAGUGUCAUUAAUGGACGAGCAGACCUCCUGCCAUCCACUUCUGCAAUUUUCUUGCUUCUCAUCUCUGCCCACCUUUCUGCGCUGACUCCAAUACACAUCCUGAAUCCUGGCCUUCCUUUGUGCAGUCCUUUCUUCUCUGAUACAUGAUAUUCUGUCCCUUUAAUACUGUUCACAAAGUGCUUUCUUCAUUUCUUUUUCACUAAUAAAUGAUAAGGAAACUA